UGAACAAAAUUUUCAUGAUGCUCAAUUAAAGGGACUUGUAAAUGGUAUUGUAUGUAAAAUAGUGUUUGAUUGCGAUUUCUGAUUUGUAUUUCAGUUUGAAUUGUAAUUCCUAAUCAGCUCAUUUUAAUCUUUGCCUUUUAGAGUACCUGGCAUCAAUCACUUAAACGCAAAUUUCAAUUGGAGCGUGCACCUCUUAUUCAUGAAGAUGAAGUGAAAAAGUGUAAGGAGAAAUUUGGACAAAAACGAACAAAACAGUUGGGUGAAUGUGACAGAGUCGGCAGGCGAGCUCCAUCUGAGUCUCCAUGUGUAAGCGGGGAAGAUGCUUCAUCCAUAGAGCAACAUGUCCGAGUCCUGCAUGUGCAAUAUGAGAGGGUGAAUCCAGAUGUUUCCGUAGUUGAAGAGCGCAUGCGGCGUACAUUUGCUUGGCGGAGGAAGGAGAUUGUGGAUGGGAUGACAGUGGGGGAUGUCCUCAAAAAGUAUCCCUUCUUGAGAUCUCCCAGAGAGGUAAGCUCUAACUCUGUAUUAUAUAUUCAAUAUUUUAGAUAUUUUGCACUAGGGGUGUCACGGAAAUUUAACCUCACGGUUAUUUUGACCAAAAUUAUCACGGUUUUC
rnacentral:lncRNA from 1 species